GAAGUGGUAAUCCAGUGGUAGAAUUCUCGCCUUCCGUGCGGGAGACCUGGGUUCGAUCUCCGGCCGAUACA
rnacentral:tRNA from 1 species